UACGACGGGUGCAAGCGUUGCUCGGAAUUAUUGGGCGUAAAGGGUUGGUCGGUGGUCUUGUUUGUCUAAGGUGAAAUCCCAUGGCUUAACUGUGGAAGUGCCUUAGAAACGGCAAGACUAGAGUCCUAGAGGGGUUUGUGGAAUUCCCGGUGUAGCGGUGAAAUGCGUAGAGAUCGGGAGGAACACCAGCGGCGAAGGCGGCAAACUGGAUAGGCACUGACACUCAACAACGAAAGCGUGGGGAGCAAACAGG
rnacentral:rRNA from 1 species